UGAUUAUUUGGUAAAUGUCCCUCUUCUAAAAAAUCAGUCUAUGGUU
rnacentral:sRNA from 1 species